CGAUUGGUAAACGGUGGCAUUCUACCUUGGACUGUGGCCUAUAUUGGGGGAUAUGUCGUUAAUAGCCGUAUUACCCCCCCGUACACCCAGUUGUCGAAAGUUGAUGACCCCGCGGUCUCUUAUUUUUGUAGCGGCCUAUGGGUCUUCCACUGCUUCGAUCCGUAAAUGGCCUCCAAGGAUACUAUCCCUCGUUGGUCCUGAAACACGAUCCACCCUCCUGCGACUGACACCCGUGCCAAAUUUCUACCGAAGGCCGCAAGCCUGAUUUUUCCAUGCCGCGUGAAACCCUGAUCCCUUAAUGUCGCGAGGGUCUUUCACCCCUUCAGAUUGUGACGGUCUUUUGACAAGAAACACCUCCUUUGUUCUUGUCCCCUACCGCGAUGACACUACCUGAGCUAUAGUUGCCCGCUAUUUCCGUGCCUACAGCCCCCGUAAUACGAUAUUUGCAUCCGGUGUUCAAUCUUACAGCUCAUCUCUCGAGCUGCCUUUGAUGCUGGAUAUCUUGGUGAUAUCCCAGGUCUUAGCCUGUCCAAUGGUUUUGUGACUGCUCGACUAUAUUCUGACGAACGCCGGUGGAAUUCCCCGUUCACUGGUCCAUUGCUGACAUCUGAGUACGAACACCUGUGGAGCAAGCAGCCUCCUGUGCUCUCACUGACCCUCCUGCACACGAUCAUGGUUAGCCGACAGGAUUAAAUUCUGCUCGGAGGCGACGCUCUAAAC
rnacentral:rRNA from 1 species